rnacentral:lncRNA from 1 species
CCCCGCCCUCGCAUUCCCUCGUCGGGCCCCAUUCAUCCACAGUUUGAACCCUGACGCGAGCCCACCGAGCCUCCCGGGCGCGGGGUGCUGUCUGCGUGUCCACGCCUCUGCGCCUCCGCCCGGCCCACCUCCCGCGCAGCCUUGCGGACGGCCACCGCCUAAAGUCCCUUCUAGCCGUGGUCUCUCCCCUCCCCUGCGGGAUGCCAAGAUCUGGGGACAAAGAUCAUUAAUAUCUUUAAGUUUCUAGCAACCAGAACGAGACCCACUAGAACAUCCCACUCUCUCCAGAGCCUGCGGAUGGGAUCCUGGGGAAACUGACAGAAGCUGGCAAAGGGACAGCUGUUGCCUCCUUGUUUGCCUCAUUUUGUACCCUGAGAACUUGACAUGGCUUUCUGCCUGCUUGGGGCAUGCAGGUUGUUUAUACAGGCAGCUCAACCAUCAGAUUGGGAGCCUCCCAAAUAUGGCCGGAUGGAAAUAUGGAUUGCACCACAUCUGGAACUGGAUAUGGCUGGACUGAAAUAUCAAAGAACCUAGAGGAGAAGAAAGAAAAAAAUCAGAUGACCAGACAGUUUUAAGCAACUAAUGUUGAAUUUAUAGAGACAAUAAAGCCCCUUUAGAAAACCAGCCUGCUGUCUUGCUUACAUGAUUCUUGGCAGCCUUACCAGAACCAAGACUGCAUUUGAACUUCCUUGGAAGGAACCAUAGCAGAUUCUCCUCACUACCCAGAUGGCAGCCAAACUUCAGAGUCUUCAACCUUGAGUCCAGAACUCCCAAUAAAAAGGGCUCCUGCAGACUCUUGGAACUACACACCAGCUGGAGAUCCAAAAUUAAAAUUGACUAUGGAGGCUCCUCCCCAGAAGCAGAUGGCAUCUUGAGGUGGACAGCUCUCCCAAGAUCGCAGAUCAAGAUCUCCAUCUCCAAUAUAAAACCUUGAUUCUUUUUGCCUUUCUACUACCUGCUUUUUCUCUCUGUUACUGCACAGGAAGACAAUGCUCCUUAACUCUGGCAACUAUCCCUGAAUAUACCAGUAAGGCCAUGUUGGCAUAACAAAACUCCCUAGACUUUCUUGCUAGGGUGGUUUUAAAUAAUAGUGUUGCUUUAGAUUACUUAUUGGCUGAACAAAUAAGAGUUUACGUCAUAGCAAAGUAUCUAUUAUACCUGGAUCAACACUGUUAGC